GUAGUGGCUCAGCCGCCUCCCCAAGGAAGACCCAAACUACCCUGAACACUGUUGAUGAAAACCCCAAAUCAUGGCUAAGCUGUCAUCAAACCCAUUUCAUGUUUGGUGAAUCUUGGUAGAAGAAAUGGUCUCAUUUUCUACUGUGGAAGGUGAAAGAGUCAGAUAUCUUUGCUGCCUUUGAUGCCUGACAGCUCAAGCACUGGCCAAGACUUAAAGUUGAUUCUUAGAGACAGGCCAAUUGUGGAGACUACUGUGGAUCCUGAAUGUAGGAGGCCUCUGCAGACAUUCACUUUCUGCCCUGGAACUUACGGAUCCUGAUCUUGAGAAGAGUAUGGACCCACACACAGCCAGGUGGGACUGUAUGAUACCACCUAUGCCAAAAAUAAGGCUAUCCUUCCUUUUUCCAAGCGUGACAAAACCACUUUUUUUGGGUGACAAU